rnacentral:lncRNA from 1 species
CUUUGUCUGAAUAUGAAGGACCCGAAGGACCACUGAGAUUGGAGACAGAACAAAGAGCCACAGCUACUGCUGAGAACUCAAAAACUUCUUCCUUUCCGGUGAACACGUCUAGACUUGGGCUGGGGAUGGGAUGAAGAUCUCUAACACCUUCCUGGAAAUCAAGAAGUGCAAAUAGGCCACAGGAUUCUGCUGCAAAUUCUAACAGGAGGAGGCAAUGGCAGCCCUUACUAAAACCGCAGAACUACAGGAAGAGGAUCCCUGAGUGGGAUUCCUGUGUGAAAGGCAUUUUCACCUUUUUGUGUAUCUUCAGAAUCUUAACUUUCAUGAGAGAAGAAUAGAAAUGCAACAAUGGAACAAUCCACUGUAUACACGUAGCUGACAAUUUAAUAAACUUGAAGGAAAUGCUA